rnacentral:tRNA from 1 species
GGAGAGGUGGCCGAGUGGUUCAAUUCAAAGCGUCGGAUUGCUAAUCCGUUGUACGAGUUUUUCGUACCGAGGGUUCGAAUCCCUCUCUUUCCG